UACGUAGGGUGCAAGCGUUGUCCGGAAUUAUUGGGCGUAAAGGGCUCGUAGGCGGUCUGUCACGUCGGGAGUGAAAACUCGGGGCUUAACCCCGAGCCUGCUUCCGAUACGGGCAGACUAGAGGUAUGCAGGGGAGAACGGAAUUCCUGGUGUAGCGGUGAAAUGCGCAGAUAUCAGGAGGAACACCGGUGGCGAAGGCGGUUCUCUGGGCAUUACCUGACGCUGAGGAGCGAAAGUGUGGGAGCGAACAGG
rnacentral:rRNA from 1 species